CCUACGGGUGGCAGCAGUGAGGAAUAUUGGUCAAUGGACGAGAGUCUGAACCAGCCAAGUAGCGUGAAGGAUGACUGCCCUAUGGGUUGUAAACUUCUUUUAUAUGGGAAUAAAAUGUUACACGUGUGGGAUUUUGUAUGUACCAUAUGAAUAAGGAUCGGCUAACUCCGUGCCAGCAGCCGCGGUAAUACGGAGGAUCCGAGCGUUAUCCGGAUUUAUUGGGUUUAAAGGGAGCGUAGGUGGAUUGUUAAGUCAGUUGUGAAAGUUUGCGGCUCAACCGUAAAAUUGCAGUUGAAACUGGCAGUCUUGAGUACAGUAGAGGUGGGCGGAAUGCGUGGUGUAGCGGUGAAAUGCUUAGAUAUCACGAAGAACUCCGAUUGCGAAGGCAGUUCACUGGACUGCAACUGACACUGAGGCUCGAAAGUGUGGGUAUCAAACAGGAUUAGAUACCCCAGUAGUC
rnacentral:rRNA from 1 species